CAGUCAAAUUUGAUUUCAGACAUACAGCACACAUUAUUUUAGUAUAAAUAUGUUCAAUGCAAUAUCUGGGACAUACUUAUACUAAAAACACAGUUGUUUAUUUAGAAUUAAUAUUUAAAU
rnacentral:miRNA from 1 species